GAUGAACGCUGGCGGCGUGCUUAACACAUGCAAGUCGAACGGAAAGGCUCCUGCUUGCAGGGGUACUCGAGUGGCGAACGGGUGAGUAACACGUGGGUGAUCUGCCCUGCACUUCGGGAUAAGCCUGGGAAACUGGGUCUAAUACCGGAUAGGACGAUGGUUUGGAUGCCAUUGUGGAAAGUUUUUCGGUGUGGGAUGAGCUCGCGGCCUAUCAGCUUGUUGGUGGGGUAAUGGCCUACCAAGGCGUCGACGGGUAGCCGGCCUGAGAGGGUGUACGGCCACAUUGGGACUGAGAUACGGCCCAGACUCCUACGGGAGGCAGCAGUGGGGAAUAUUGCACAAUGGGCGGAAGCCUGAUGCAGCGACGCCGUGUGGGGGAUGAAGGCCUUCGGGUUGUAAACUCCUUUCGUCAGGGACGAAGUUUUUUUGACGGUACCUGGAUAAGAAGCACCGGCCAACUACGUGCCAGCCGCCGCGGUAA
rnacentral:rRNA from 1 species